UUUCGGCCAAGGCAAGAGCAAACCAACCCCCAUUUUUAGCUUCUCUAAAAUUAAUUCCUUGGUGUAGAUCAACUAUAUUGAAGUCCCUAAGUAGCGUGGAAGAGUUGUUUGAGUCAUCCAACCACUAGUUGUGCCCAAUUUCAAACCCUAACUAUUGAAGGAAGUGAAUGACAAAGGUACAGACGCACAGUUCGGUGAUCCCCCAGUGUAGGAUACCCCUUUUGCUAUUGGAGUGCUCCCCUCCCUUCAGAGCACAUCUUUUGGUAUACACUUUUGUUCGCUAUGUUGUAUAUAUUCGUUCAUGGGUACGGCGGGGCCUUGUUCCGCCAUAUUAUUCGUUUGGUCUGCUUAGAGGUCUGUAGACUUAUUUGUGGGUGUGUGUGCCUACUUCUGUACAGUUGUGUCCAUAUGAUCUCCUUCGUUAUGGCAGCCUUGUCAGCAUGCAUUUUGUAUAUGUUUAUGGCAGCCUUGUCGGCUCGCACGUGUAUAUGUUGUUCUGUUGGCCCUGUGUGGCCUUUGUGGUAUUUGCUGUGUACAGGGUUAUUUUGGAUAGUCCGAAAAACAAAGGAAACUCUGCCGAAAUUUUUCUGGAAAUUGUCUAAAUUUGAAAUAUAGCCUUGAUGGCUUCUGUUAUAUA